GGCCGUGAGGGUGACCUGGCUGUGACACCUGUCCCCCCACUGAUGGCCGGGGUUGACGCAGCUGAUCUGGCUGGCCAGGGGGGUGUCCCCUUCCUCCCUCAUCACUCCAUGUGUGUCCCUCCUGAAACCACAUGCUUGGUCAAAGAGGGUGACCAUCCCCCACAGAGAAAGACCAGUCUCUGGUCAAGGGUAUACGAGUAGCUCGCUUCCCUGCUGAUACCUCCACACAAGCUCUUAAAAUAGAUGCUCAAUAAACAGUUGUGGAUUGAAAAAAGAAAAGCACCUGGUAAUGCUU
rnacentral:snRNA from 1 species